GACGAACGCUGGCGGCGUGCCUAAUACAUGCAAGUUGAGCGCUGAAGGUUGGUACUUGUACCAACUGGAUGAGCAGCGAACGGGUGAGUAACGCGUGGGGAAUCUGCCUUUGAGCGGGGGGCAACAUUUGGAAACGAAUGCUAAUACCGCAUAAAAACUUUAAACACAAGUUUUAAGUUUGAAAGAUGCAAUUGCAUCACUCAAAGAUGAUCCCGCGUUGUAUUAGCUAGUUGGUGAGGUAAAGGCUCACCAAGGCGAUGAUACAUAGCCGACCUGAGAGGGUGAUCGGCCACAUUGGGACUGAGACACGGCCCCAACUCCUACGGGAGGCAGCCGUAGGGAAUCUUCGGCAAUGGACGAAAGUCUGACCGAGCAACGCCGCGUGAGUGAAGAAGGUUUUCGGAUCGUAAAACUCUGUUGGUAGAGAAGAACGUUGGUGAGAGUGGAAAGCUCAUCAAGUGACGGUAACUACCCAGAAAGGGACGGCUAACUACGUG
rnacentral:rRNA from 1 species